GAUGAACGCUGGCGGCGUGCUUAACACAUGCAAGUCGAACGGUGAAGCAGGAGCUUGCUCCUGUGGAUCAGUGGCGAACGGGUGAGUAACACGUGAGCAAUCUGCCCUGGACUCUGGGAUAAGCGUUGGAAACGACGUCUAAUACCGGAUACGAGGCGUGGGGGCAUCCCCAACGCCUGGAAAGAACUUCGGUCCAGGAUGAGCUCGCGGCCUAUCAGGUAGUUGGUGAGGUAACGGCUCACCAAGCCGACGACGGGUAGCCGGCCUGAGAGGGUGACCGGCCACACUGGGACUGAGACACGGCCCAGACUCCUACGGGAGGCAGCAGUGGGGAAUAUUGCACAAUGGGCGCAAGCCUGAUGCAGCAACGCCGCGUGCGGGAUGAAGGCCUUCGGGUUGUAAACCGCUUUCAGCAGGGAUGAAACUGACAGUACCUGCAGAAGAAGCCCCGGCUAACUACGUGCCAGCCGCCGCAGUAAAAC
rnacentral:rRNA from 1 species